rnacentral:miRNA from 1 species
GAGGCUGAUGAGUUCCCGGGAA